rnacentral:rRNA from 1 species
CCAAUAGCGUAUAUUAAAGUUGUUGCAGUUAAAAAGCUCGUAGUUGAAUUUCGAGAUCGGUUUAUUGGUCGUGCUAUUGUACGUACUGGUAUUACCGGUUUCUCCUUUCUGACGAACCUUAAUGCCAUUAAUUUGGUGUUUUGGGAAAUCAGGACUGUUACUUUGAAAAACUUAGAGUGUUUAAAGCAGGCUCACGCUUGAAUACAUUAGCAUGGAAUAACGGACUAGGACGUUUGAUUCUAUUUUGUUGGUUUCUAGGAUCGACGUAAUGAUUAAUAGGGAUAGUUGGGGGCAUUAGUAUUCAAUUGUCAGAGGUGAAAUUCUUGGAUUUAUUGAAGACUAACUACUGCGAAAGCAUUUGCCAAGGAUGUUUUCAUUAAUCAAGAACGAAAGUUAGGGGAUCGAAGACGAUCAGAUACCGUCGUAGUCUUAACCAUAAACUAUGCCGACUAGGGAUCGGAUGAUGUUAAUUUUUUAAUGACUCACUCGGCGCCUUACG